UACGAAGGUCCCGAGCGUUGUUCGGAAUCACUGGGCGUAAAGGGAGCGUAGGCGGCGUGGUAAGUCAGAUGUGAAAUCCCGGGGCUCAACCCCGGAACUGCAUCCGAUACUGCCGUGCUCGAGGGUUGGAGAGGUAGCUGGAAUUAUCGGUGUAGCAGUGAAAUGCGUAGAUAUCUGGAGGAACACCGGUGGCGAAGGCGGCGUUCUGGACUGCAACUGACACUGAAAAACGAAAGCCAGGGGAGCAAACGGG
rnacentral:rRNA from 1 species